rnacentral:rRNA from 1 species
AGCGAACGCUAGCGGCAUGCCUCAAACAUGCAAGUCGAACGCGAAAGUGACUUCGGUCACGAGUAGAGUGGCGCACGGGUGAGUAACACGUAACUAACGUCCCUCCUCGCUGAGGACAACUCCGGGAAACCGGAGCUAAUACUGAAUGAUUUCAUCGGGACUGCGGUCCUGAUGGGUAAAGCUUCACAGCGCGAGGAGAUCGGGUUGCGGCCUAUUAGCUAGUUGGGAGGUAACGGCCCACCAAGGCUACGAUAGGUAGCUGGUCUGA